UACGUAGGGGGCAAGCGUUGUCCGGAAUCAUUGGGCGUAAAGGGCGCGUAGGCGGACUCUUAAGUCGGGGGUGAAAGCCCAGGGCUCAACCCUGGAAUUGCCUUCGAUACUGAGAGUCUUGAGUUCGGAAGAGGUUGGUGGAACUGCGAGUGUAGAGGUGAAAUUCGUAGAUAUUCGCAAGAACACCAGUGGCGAAGGCGGCCAACUGGUCCGAUACUGACGCUGAGGCGCGAAAGCGUGGGGAGCAAACAGG
rnacentral:rRNA from 1 species